CACCCCUCUAUCACACAUUUACCCGGGAGUAGAGCAUCUGAACUAUUGCUGUGCUUGGAUCUCAGAGUGACAACAUCACAUUGACAGUCUCUGCAAAGCAAUAGCCUGAUGAAAUAAUAUUCUUUAUAGAAAAAGUGUUCACUAUUGAAUAGAAUAACAUAAGAAUAAUUUUAGCAAUAAGAACAAACUUGUUUCUCUCUCAGAUGACAGUAUUAGCUGAAUAUUGAAAGACAACUGAAGCCUAGUUUUAAGAUUGAAUUGUUUGUAUACCAAUAUUUGGAUUUCAUAAAGACGCAAAAUGGAGAGGAUUACAAGUGCGCAACCUCCUCCUUGUAUGGCAAAACACCAGUCGCAGGAGAUGGCAGACAUGCAAGGAAAAGAUUUCCCAAAGUACGUAUGCAAACACCGAAAGGGAAUGAAGCGCGUGGAAGACAGUAAGGAGACAUGCAAGUUACCCCACCGAUUGAUUGAGAAGAAAAGACGUGACAGAAUCAAUGAAUGCAUUGCUCAACUGAAGGAUUUAUUGCCAGAACAUCUCAAACUCACAACUCUAGGCCAUUUGGAGAAAGCUGUGGUGUUGGAACUCACCCUGAAGCAUGUGAAAGCCCUGAGCACUCUCCUGGAACAGCAGCAGCAGAAAAUCAUUGCAUUGCAAAUCAGGGAUCAGAGCAGUGUUAGCUCAGAGAACAGUGAGGAGAUGUUCCACUCUGGCUUCCAUGUCUGUGCUAAGAAGGUCCUCCAGUACCUGGCUAACCAGGGGAGCAGCAGAGACCCCCUGACCCCCUCUGAAAUGACCAGCCACCUCCACAAAGUAGCAUCAGAGGUGCUCCAGGGUCCAUUCAGUCCCCGGUCCGAAGAGCCCACCCACAAACCCAUCGAUAGCAUGGAGAAGCCUGCUGGUCAGAUGCCUAAGGGCAAAGAGGGUCACCCCAAGAACUUUGUGUCUGUCAUUCAAAGGACAUACCCCCACGGACAUGGAGAGCAGAGUGGCAAUGACACAGACACUGACAGCGGCUAUGGAGGGGAACACGAGAAACGGGACCUCAAAGCCCAACGCUCAAGCUACUACAGCAAGGAGGGGGAGCUCAAAUAUGCUCUGGCUGAGAGGAUGGCAGGAGGUGGCGUCAAGCAGGAGGGUGCUGAGCCCCAGGCCAAGAGGUUCAAAUCUGACUACUCAGAGGACGAGUCUUCCUCUGGGCAGGUGGUUAGCAGCCAUCACAGCUACAUGAGCUUCUCCCAACACCAGACCCCCCUCUGCGUGCCCUUCUACCUCAUCCCCCAAGCAGCUGCAUCGUGGCCCAUGAUGGAGAAGUGCUGGUUCCCACGGGGCAUGCCCAUUUUGUACCCGGGCAUGAAUGUCUCAGCAGCCCGCUUGUCUCCAGAGAAAAUACCUCAAAACUUAGUAAUGUCUCCCAGGGCAGGUUCCCCGACACUUUACCAAGCACCCAUGGACUCACCAGCCCUCCUUCAAGCUUUAAAACAAGCCUCCCCAUGAACUUGGAAUCCAAAGACUGAUACACUUUUGUGUUUGCACCCUGCUCUAUGAAUGUUUGGGGUUGAACGGAUCGCCUGCUGGAAGGCGUCCAGGUUAGCAAGGACAAACACGAGAGCACCAGUUUGUCUCCCUCAGCAACAGCAGCCCACACUCUCCCUUUGAGAGCAAACAACAACUGUCACGCACAAACCUAGUGGCCACAACCCUCCAAACCAGCCCACAGAUCAAACUUGGAGCCAGUUAGCACUGAAGCUCUGACCCUAUGGAGGAUCACAGAUGACCUGUUGCAAAGCUCUGAGUCACUGUGAAGAGCUGGUCAACACAAGGACAUGACAAAAGUGGUUAAGAGAAGGACUUACUGUGGGGAUGGCUUCCCUGCACUUGUGUUGAAUGUCAGAGUUAAACCCUGCCUGUGAUGAACAGACAGCACAGCCCCCAGCCAUUCAGACCUGCCCUUUGCACACACACCGGUCUAUAUUGAUUGUAAGAAUUUAACAAAACCCCUGUAGAUGCUGCUUGAGGUUCUAUGUGUUUUAGAUGUGCGACCGGAGGAUCCACAUUUUCUGCAUCUGUAACUGCUGAAACUGCAACGAACCCGCCUUUGGACCAGAACGCUACCAAAUACGUCGCUGGUUUAUGUUGUCCAGGGUUGUCACAAAAUCCAUUGCUCCCUCUUCACCCACCAAGUGUACGCUACAUUGCAGCUAAAUGGACUCAGGAUGGUGUCACCGGACCUGAUAUGUGUCACUCAUGUAAAUAGAGGAGUGAUGCAUUCAGUUAUGCAUUUUAGUUUUGAGUUUGUAAGUCACUACCAUUCGUGCAAGUAGUUCUUGUGAGGUAAUGUCUUGUAAUUAUUUUGUUUAUACUACUUGUACAUCUUUAUUUUUGAUACAUGACCUAUAGAGUGUAUUUGCAUUGUAACUAGAGGGAGGGAAUUUUAGAUGGCCAUUUUGCUGUUUGCCAAGAGAACAUGUACAUAGCAUUGUGCUAAACCUGAUUUGCAUCAUGCUCAUUAUUAAUUUCGGGUCUGGUCAAUUUCUGGCCUGAUCGUAGUUCAUGCCUGAUUUUGGUUAAAGCAGACAAAUUAUGGCAGAUGCCUAAAUGUAUUUGUGUCAAUUAUUGAGGCUGUGGCAAAGAGAGGAGAAUGAAUGUAAUGCUACAGCAAAAUGUUAGUUUUGUAUAGGAUGAGGUACUUGGGAUUUUCAUUUUGGGACAUAACAGAAGGUUGCUUGUUGUACAUAUUUUGUCUAUAAAGUAUUGUUUACAUAAA